rnacentral:sRNA from 1 species
CGAGCGGGCGAGCGGGAGCCGGAGCCCCGCGCCCUCCGCUCCACUCCGAUUCUCUCCGCGCCAGAGCCAGGCGCGCCAGCCCCCUUUCGCCCAGCUGACACCCACAAUGAGGUCCGCUUUGACCGCUUUGGUGAUGGUAUUGGCCGCUACAACAUCUUCACCUAUCUGCGUGCAGGCAGUGGGCGCUAUCGCUACCAGAAGGUGGGCUACUGGGCAGAAGGCUUGACUCUGGACACCAGCCUCAUCCCAUGGGCCUCACCCUCAGCCGGCCCCCUGCCUGCCUCUCGCUGCAGUGAGCCCUGCCUCCAGAAUGAGGUGAAGAGUGUGCAGCCGGGCGAGGUUUGCUGCUGGCUCUGCAUCCCGUGCCAGCCCUAUGAGUACCGAUUGGACGAAUUCACUUGCGCUGAUUGUGGUCUGGGCUACUGGCCCAAUGCCAGCCUGACUGGCUGCUUCGAACUGCCCCAGGAGUACAUCCGCUGGGGCGAUGCCUGGGCUGUGGGACCUGUCACCAUCGCCUGCCUGGGUGCCCUGGCCACCCUCUUUGUGCUGGGUGUCUUUGUGCGGCACAAUGCCACACCAGUGGUCAAGGCCUCGGGUCGGGAGCUCUGCUACAUCCUGCUGGGUGGUGUCUUCCUCUGCUACUGCAUGACCUUCAUCUUCAUUGCCAAGCCAUCCACAGCAGUGUGUACCUUACGGCGUCUUGGUUUGGGCACUGCCUUCUCUGUCUGCUACUCAGCCCUGCUCACCAAGACCAACCGCAUUGCACGCAUCUUCGGUGGGGCCCGGGAGGGUGCCCAGCGGCCACGCUUCAUCAGUCCUGCCUCACAGGUGGCCAUCUGCCUGGCGCUUAUCUCAGGCCAGCUGCUCAUCGUGGUUGCCUGGCUGGUGGUGGAGGCACCGGGCACAGGCAAGGAGACAGCCCCCGAACGGCGGGAGGUGGUGACACUGCGCUGCAACCACCGCGAUGCAAGUAUGUUGGGCUCGCUGGCCUACAAUGUGCUGCUCAUCGCGCUCUGCACACUUUAUGCCUUCAAGACUCGCAAGUGCCCCGAAAACUUCAACGAGGCCAAGUUCAUUGGCUUCACCAUGUACACCACCUGCAUCAUCUGGCUGGCAUUCCUGCCCAUCUUCUAUGUCACCUCCAGUGACUACCGGGUACAGACCACCACCAUGUGCGUGUCAGUCAGCCUCAGCGGCUCUGUGGUGCUUGGCUGCCUCUUUGCGCCCAAGCUGCACAUCAUCCUCUUCCAGCCGCAGAAGAACGUGGUUAGCCACCGGGCGCCCACCAGCCGCUUUGGCAGUGCUGCUGCCAGGGCCAGCUCCAGCCUUGGCCAAGGGUCUGGCUCCCAGUUUGUCCCCACUGUUUGCAAUGGCCGUGAGGUGGUGGACUCGACAACGUCAUCACUUUGAAGACCCCAUACUCCCGCCCUGACACAGCUGCUCCUGGGAACCUAGUGCAGACCCGCGUCCAGGGCCAGGAGGACGUUGGCUGGAGCACUGCAAUAAUUUAUUACCCACCCUAUGUCUGCCCCCAAAGUCACUUACCCACCUCCUUACCCCAACUCUUCAGACUCAGAAGUCGGGAGCCUUGGCCGGGAGCCUCUGCAGUGGCCACUAACUGCCCUUGUAGCUGUGUUUCCUCCUGGUCAGGCCCAGGGCUCAGAGAGGAGCAAGCCAGGGUUCACUCUGCCCUGGACCGGGGUGGCUGAGGACGGCAGGCCCCAUUCCUAACCAGCAAAGGUGCUUCCAGCCCAGCUCCUCCCCCCAACUAGGGCCUUUUUUAUUUUUUAUAUAAGUUACUCUGGGAUGGGGAGGGUGGUUAUUGUGGGGGCUGCCCCUCCCCCUGCACAGUAGUUUGUCCUGUGGUUUAUUUUGUAUUACCUGUAAAUAAAGUGGCUUUAUUUUAAAAAA